GACGAACGCUGGCGGCGUGCUUAACACAUGCAAGUCGAACGAAGUGGCGAACGGGUGAGUAACACGUAAUCAACCUGCCCUUGAGAAGGGGACAACAGUUGGGAAAGACUGCUAAUAUCGCAUACUGAAGGAGGGGAGUGCGUCUGAUUGGCUAGGUGGAGGGGUAACGGCCCACCAAGGCGAUGAUCAGUCGCCGGGCUGAGAGGAUGAACGGCCACAUUGGGACUGCGACCCGCCCCAGACUCCUACGGGAGGCAGCAGUGGGGAAUCUUCCGGAAUGGGCGAAAGUCUGACGGAGCAACGCCGCGUGAUUGAUGACGGCCUUCGGGUGGGAAAUCUCUGUUAAUCGGUACGCGGUACCGGAAUAGAAAGCCACGGCUAACUACGUGCCAGCAGCCGCGGUAAUAC
rnacentral:rRNA from 1 species